rnacentral:rRNA from 1 species
ACGGGUGAGUAACACGUGGGUAACCUGCCUCAUAGAGGGGAAUAGCCUUUCGAAAGGAAGAUUAAUACCGCAUAAGAUUGUAGUACCGCAUGGUACAGCAAUUAAAGGAGUAAUCCGCUAUGAGAUGGACCCGCGUCGCAUUAGCUAGUUGGUGAGGUAACGGCUCACCAAGGCGACGAUGCGUAGCCGACCUGAGAGGGUGAUCGGCCACAUUGGGACUGAGACACGGCCCAGACUCCUACGGGAGGCAGCAGUGGGGAAUAUUGCACAAUGGGGGAAACCCUGAUGCAGCAACGCCGCGUGAGUGAUGACGGUCUUCGGAUUGUAAAGCUCUGUCUUCAGGGACGAUAAUGACGGUACCUGAGGAGGAAGCCACGGCUAACUACGUGCCAGCAGCCGCGGUAAUACGUAGGUGGCAAGCGUUGUCCGGAUUUACUGGGCGUAAAGGGAGCGUAGGUGGAUAUUUAAGUGGGAUGUGAAAUACUCGGGCUUAACCUGGGUGCUGCAUUCCAAACUGGAUAUCUAGAGUGCAGGAGAGGAAAGUAGAAUUCCUAGUGUAGCGGUGAAAUGCGUAGA